rnacentral:rRNA from 1 species
CUUCGGGAGCUGACGAGUGGCGGACGGGUGAGUAACGCGUAGGAAUCUGCCUCAUAGUGGGGGACAACGUGGGGAAACUCACGCUAAUACCGCAUACGCCCUACGGGGGAAAGGAGGGGAUCUUAGGACCUUUCGCUAUGAGAUGAGCCUGCGUUAGAUUAGCUAGUUGGUAGGGUAAAGGCCUACCAAGGCGACGAUCUAUAGCUGGUCUGAGAGGACGAUCAGCCACACUGGGACUGAGACACGGCCCAGACUCCUACGGGAGGCAGCAGUGGGGAAUAUUGGACAAUGGGCGAAAGCCUGAUCCAGCAAUACCGCGUGUGUGAAGAAGGCCUUAGGGUUGUAAAGCACUUUCAAUUGGGAGGAAAACCUAUCGACCAAUACCCGAUAGCUUGACAUUACCUUUAGAAGAAGCACCGGCUAACUCCGUGCCAGCAGCCGCGGUAAUACGGAGGGUGCGAGCGUUAAUCGGAAUUACUGGGCGUAAAGCGUGCGUAGGCGGUUCGUUAAGUCAGAUGUGAAAGCCCUGGGCUCAACCUGGGAACUGCAUUUGAAACUGGCGGACUAGAGUUUAGUAGAGGGGAGUGGAAUUUCAGGUGUAGCGGUGAAAUGCGUAGAUAUCUGAAGGAACACCAGUGGCGAAGGCGACUCCCUGGACUAGAACUGACGCUGAGGUACGAAAGCGUGGGUAGCAAACAGGAUUAGAUACCCUGGUAGUCCACGCCGUAAACGAUGUCGACUAGCCGUUGGCCCUAUUUACAGGGUUAGUGGCGCAGCUAACGCAUUAAGUCGACCGCCUGGGGAGUACGGCCGCAAGGUUAAAACUCAAAUGAAUUGACGGGGGCCCGCACAAGCGGUGGAGGCAUGUGGUUUAAUUCGAUGCACGCGAAGAACCUUACCUACCCUUGACAUCCAGAGAAUC